ensembl:lncRNA
AUGACUCCAGUUGCACAAUAUCAACAAACUAAACAGCAGAGAGAAUAUGAAGAAGAGGAAGAAAGAAAUUCUAGAACAAGCCCAAAUAUAAGACUCAGAUCAUCACAUAAGAAAUCAUUUGGAAAACAACGUCAGGUUUUGACCAAUCAGGUCUUUUUUAUCCAUGGUCCUUUCCAAAGUAUUAAGAAAUUGUCCUCAGGCUGCAGAUGGGAUGUUUUUACAACCAUUGUACGGUACUGGCGAGUUGGAAUCUUGUGCAUUAUCUUUUUGUUUUGUUGUGCCAUUGUCGCCUUGCUAUGUUUGUAGAGUGUCUAACAUAUUUUUCUAUUCAUGAUAUUUUUUUCCCACAUUGCUUGUGUAUAGAAAAAAAAAAAUAGACUGAAGUUUAUUUAUAUAUUUUAAUUCAAGUGGGUUUUUUAUUUUUUUAUUAUUGCAUUNUUUUGGUUGUAUUUAUGUUUGACGGUUUAAAAAAAGAUCAAAAGCAAUAGUGGAUGGUCGUCAGUCAGUAAAGAGCACAAUUGUUAGAUGUUUUUACAGUAGUGGUCAGAAGAGUGAUAUCUGUCUGUAAACCUGUAAUAUAUCUGUAAGGUUCAGGAUCACUGUCUAUUAAGUCUUUAAAAAGUGAUGCCCAUUCUCUUAUAAUAACUAAUUAGGUGUCAAAGCCAUGAUUUGUUUUAAAAUAUUUUUUUUUUAUUAAAUAACUAUAAUAAUUAAGAAAAACACAAAGCUAGUCGGAGAAAUAAGGGAACUUUUAAGCAAGUAGAGAUUGCAUGUUCUGAAAAAAAAAAAUCUUGAUAUUGCUAUAUGUUCUAAUGGUAUGUGUGAAUGAUUUUGGAUGUGUGUAUGUAUGCAUCUACAUUUGUUAUCAUUCAAAAAAGAAGAAAAAAAAAUCUGAUCAACACCAUUAAAAGAAAUGUUUGGUCAGAGGACUUAUAAUUUCAGACCUUCUAUGCAAUGAUUUUCUCAGCUGAGAAAAAUGGUUGUCAGAGUAUUGAAACAAAAUAAAACAACUAAAUCCAAGAAUAACUAGAUAGUA